UAAAGUGUCUGAGUUGCAUUCAGGGGAUGUAUACUAAAGUUAUACAGGUCUUC
rnacentral:tRNA from 1 species